rnacentral:rRNA from 1 species
GUACGGAGGAUGCGAGCGUUAUCCGGAUUUAUUGGGUUUAAAGGGUGCGCAGGCGGCCAUUUAAGUCAGCGGUUAAAUCGUGGGGCUCAACCCCAUUCUGCCGUUGAUACUGGGUGGCUUGAUUGCGGUCGAGGUUGGCGGAAUUCGUUGUGUAGCGGUGAAAUGCAUAGAUAUGACGAAGAACACCGAUUGCGUAGGCAGCUGACCAGACCGCAAAUGACGCUCAUGCACGAAAGUGCGGGGAUCGAACAGGAUUAGAUACCCUGGUAGUCCGCACAGUAAACGAUGAAUACUUGUUUUCGGCGAUAUAAUGUCGGAGGCAAAGCGAAAGCGAUAAGUAUUCCACCUGGGGAGUACGCCGGCAACGGUGAAACUCAAAUGAAUUGACGGGG